UGGUCGGGAUAGCUCAGCUGGUAGAGCAGAGGACUGAAAUCUCUACCCUU
rnacentral:tRNA from 1 species